UGAUCCUGCGGAAGAUUGCUGCUAUUGGGGUUCGACUAAGCCAUGCAAGUUUUCCCUUCGGGGAGGCGAAAGGCUCAGUAACACGUCAAUAAUCUGCCCUUAGGCUCGGGAUAACCACGGGAAACUGUGGAUAACACCGAAUAUGAGAUUCUUACUGGAAUGUAUUUUCUCUGAAACGCAAGGCCUAAGGAUGAGUUGGCGGCGGAUUAGGUUGUUGGUGGGGUAAAGGCCCACCAAGCCGAAGAUCCGUUGGGGCCUUGAGAGAGGUAGCCCCGAGAAGGACACUGAGAUACUGGUCCUAGCCCUACGGGGUGCAGCAGGCGCGAAACCUUUACAAUGCGCGAAAGCGUGAUAAGGGAACCCUGAGUGCUCAUGCUAAGCAUGGGCUUUCGCCAAGAGUAAAUAUCUUGGCGAAUAAGUGGGGGGUAAGACUGGUGCCAGCAGCCGCGGUAAUACCAGCGCCACAAGUGGCAAUCAGAAUUAUUGGGUCUAAAGCGCCCGUAGCCUGUCAGGUAAGUCUUUUGUGAAACUGUUGUCCUAAAUGCAACAGCGUGCAAAAGAUACUGCCAGACUCGGAACCGGAAGGGGUAAGGUGUAUGCAAGGGGGAGCGGUAAAAUGCUAUAAUCCCUUGUAGACAAUCGGUGGCGAAAGCGCCUUACUAGUACGGAUUCGACGGUGAGGGACGAAAGCCAGGGGAGCGAACCGGAUUAGAUA
rnacentral:rRNA from 1 species